rnacentral:rRNA from 1 species
GCCGCGUUAGUGUUAAGGUAGCAUAGUAAUUAGUUUCUUAUUUGGGAAAUGGAAUGAAUGGUUUCACUAAAAUAUGAUAUUUAUUCUAAUUUGCGAAAUUUUAAUCUGAGUGAAAAUACUCAGAAGAUAUAUUUAGACGAGAAGACCCUAUGAAGCUGGUAGACUUCCAAUGUAAUUAUACGAUAGUUCAUGAGUUUAUUUUUUGGGGUAAAAUUUAAUAAUAGUAUUAAUAUUGGCUUACUAAAUAAUAUCCUCUUGGAAUUAUGAAAAA